rnacentral:lncRNA from 1 species
GCAUUUCGGUGAAUGUGACAUGGCCGGAGGUGAAUGGGGUGGUCGUAUCACUGCUUGUUGAAUCCUUCGACCGAGGGUACGUGGUGUUUGUUACUCUCAGACCCCUGCUAAUUUUUCCACGGUCUUCCAUGUAACCAGGCGAACUAAUUUCCUCAUCGUUGAGUUGUACAGGCUUCGAUAACAUGUCUACAACUUGGAGCAUGGACGGCCUCCGUCCGGCCACAGCUUGUGUGCAGAAGAGGGCUACUUUGAUGUACCGUAUCACCUGAUCUUGCGGAUACUCCUUCAGAGCUGGAUCUACAACCUCUGCAAGUCUCCCUUCCUCGAAAAGGUUCCAUGUCUGCAUGUCCAUAUGUAUUUUUUUUUUUAAUCUAAAAUCAUCAUAGUUGUUAAGAAUAAACAUGCAAAACAACUGCCGAAUGCAUGAAGUUACUGUCUAUUUACGUAGGUACUAACAAUGAUGUGGCAAUUCAAUCUGUGUACUCACAUCACCAUGGAGCUGGAAAAUUGUAUUGAAAAUGAAAAUAUUUUCUUGCAGCAAAGGUGAGAUAACUAUACUAAAUAGUUAUUUUUCUUGCAAAAAGAAAAAAAAAAAAAGACAUAACUAUACUACAUAGAUUAGAUCGUGCAGCGCAAGAAUUGGAAAUGUCAAUUAACAAUAUAAUCAUAAUGAGAUAUGUAGCAAGUAGAAACGAAUCCUUACCCAUUCCAAGAGAGGUUUUCCAAUUUCUGACCAUGACUUCGAAUUACUUCUGCCACUAAUUAUUUCAAGAACGAGGAUCCCAAAGCUAUAUAUGUCAGCCUUCUUAGUUAACUUGCCUUUCAUAGCAUACUCAGGAGCCAAAUAACCACUGCAUCAAAUAUUGCCAUCGGUAAGUACCAGAAGAAAGUUUCAAGUUCCUUCUGAAAAGCAUGUAUACAGAUUUUACAUAUGCACAUACAGACUUCCACAUGUCAAGAAAAUAACAAGGCUGAUUAGUUUAUACAUUCACAAGUGGUGUUUCAAUAAGCAAAGUUGUUUCAAGUUCAGGCUCACAUUCAUUUCUUGCCUGAUGUUUACUAAUUCAAUCUGUAAAAGAUUGCUGAAAAAUGUUGCUACAAUGUGCUGCAAUAAGAUAAUUGUUUGUCUCACAUGCUUAUACUUUCCUACUUUGGUUUUAACUUUAGAAUUCCUUCCAUAAUCCCUAAUUUAUUAAUGAAAAACAAAAGAGAAACAGAUUCCUAGUUUGAGAACAAGACUUAAACAAUUAUAUUUUCUUUCUUGUGUGUUUUGGACUUAGCCGUUUGUGGAUGCAGAGAACAUUCUAUGGCAAAUUUCUACUUACAAGAUACUCUCCUAAUAAUAUUCACACCUUACAAUUUUUCCCUGUAAACUCUACCAAGAACAAAAUAAUUUAGUUGCACUGUGCCAAUCUAUAUACCAUGCAGUUGCACACAUCUGAUGCUAGUUUAUUCCAACUUUUUGUACCUGCUCAUCUAAUUCGCUAUAGAUUAAUGUUACCAAACAUUACCUUGGUAAUAUCCUGCCAGUGUCAGGAGACUAAAAAAGUUUGCUGUUAAUUCUUUUUCACUUUAAUUCUGUCUUCAUAUUUGAUCAGCCUACCUUACUAAACAAGUAAUCAAAUUGUAUGUCCUUUUCUUGCAAAGGAAUUUGUGUGUCCAUAUGUACUCAAAUACGUAAUAUUCUGGGUAAGUUAAACAAGAUCACCAACACCAUACGUUGUUCCGGCUACGCGUGUGCUGAUAUGAGUAAUGUUGUCAGGAAAAAGCUUAGCCACACCAAAAUCUCCAAUUUUAGGGACAAAAUUCCUGUCAAGGAGAAUAUUGCUAGUUUUGAUGUCUCUGUGUACAAUUGGUGGUU